rnacentral:tRNA from 1 species
AAUUAAGUGGCUGAAAAAAGUGGUAGGCUGUAAACCUAUAGAUAGAGGUUUCCUCUCUUAAUUA